rnacentral:rRNA from 1 species
UACGGAGUGUGCAAGCGUUACUCGGAAUCACUGGGCAUAAAGCGCGCGUAGGCGGGUUUCCAAGUCGGUUGUGAAAUCCCUCAGCUCAACUGAGGAACUGCAUCCGAUACUGUUUGUCUUGAGGACGGGAGGGGAGAGUAGAACUUCUGGUGAAGCGGUGAAAUUCGUAGAUAUCGGGAGGAACACCAGUGGCGAAGGCGGCGAUCUGGGUCGAUACUGACGCUGAGGUGCGAAAGCGUGGGGAGCAAACAGG